rnacentral:rRNA from 1 species
CAGAGACUGCAAGCGUUAUUCGGAUUCACUGGGCGUAAAGGGUGCGCAGGCGGCCAAGUGUGUUAGGCGUGAAAGCCCGGGGCUUAACCCCGGAAUUGCACCUAAAACUACAUGGCUAGAGCAUUGGAGAGGGUAGCAGAAUUCACGGUGUAGCAGUGAAAUGCGUAGAUAUCGUGAGGAAUACCAGAGGCGAAGGCGGCUACCUGGACAAUUGCUGACGCUCAGGCACGAAAGCGUGGGGAGCAAAAGGGAUUAGAUACCCCUGUAGUCCACGCCCUAAACGGUGCAUACUAGGUCUUGGCGGAUUCGACCCCACCAGGGCCCAAGCUAACGCGUUAAGUAUGCCGCCUGAGGACUACGGCCGCAAGGCUA